rnacentral:rRNA from 1 species
ACUACAUGAAGCUGGAAUCGCUAGUAAUCGCGGAUCAGAAUGCCGCGGUGAAUACGUUCCCGGGUCUUGUACACACCGCCCGUCACACCAUGGGAGUAGGUAAUGCCCGAAGUCGGUGACCUAACCGGAAGGAAGGAGCCGCCGAAGGCAGGACUUAUAACUGGGGUGAAGUCGUAACAAGGUAUC